GUGUGCACGAGCUCGUGUCGGCUGGAGGGAGGUGUGGAUCCACUACCCUUUGCUAAGGGCCACCUUGCUUCCCCAUAGGCAGAUACGUGCUCUUGCACAUGGCCUGGCCAUCUGCAGUCUAAUUCACCCUGCAUCUCACCUGGUGCCAUACCUCCCUUCCCUAAAUAAAAGAGCUGGGAAGCAGCAUGGCAUUGAGAACCAGCCCUGGGUAGCAGAUCAGAGGAGCCUGAGCUUACAUGGUCACACUAGAUGUUAAGCAGGCUUAUUUCCCCUCUGCUCUCCCAUGCUGUCCCAUCUGCACAGGCUGGUAUCUGCAUCCUUGCUUCCUGUUGAUCACACACACUUCAGUGACCCCACUGAUGGCAUCCAUCAACCAGUCAAGGCUCUACAUGUCUCCAGACAGCCGUUAUUCCAAUUCCACAUCGCUACCCUGGAAAAAAAGUCCUCAGCUCCUCUCUAGAGAGGGGUGGGAAUCAAAACAUUGACAGCAAUAUAUGGCCACAGCUACUAAAGUAACUUUACUGAGGAUGGGUUCGUGCCUAGCUGUACCCUGUGCCCUUUCAGUUUGCCUGAAGAGGGCAUGUGGCUCCUCUGUUCCUGUCUAAACACACAGGAAACCGGCCAGCUGCAUGAUCUGACGCUCUAAAUUUGAGCAGCAUCUUCACUGCUUCAUCCUGCCUCUGCAGAGCAGGCAGCGAGCACGCACCUGCAGCUCCGGUUUUGCCUCUUGCUGAGGUCACCAGUUUGUCAUCCGCAGCCCUGAAUGCUGCGCAGCAAGGAGGAGCACGUCUGCGAGUGCAUUCCUGCAGAAGAGGGGAAAUGCAGGGUGGAGCAGCAACCAGCAGCUGACACUGUUUGCUACGCACUUGCUCACCACGAGGCUCAGGACGCUGCCCGCUCCUUGAAUGUUUCCUUGAUUACUUAUUCCCAGCAUACUCACACACACAAACACACACUCACCCGCUUCUCUCAGAAGACUGGAAGGACGGGCUACCAGGAAAACAAUAGCAUUUCUCCCACUCGCAGCUGUGUGACAUUUGUUUUUGUUUCUCCAGGUGGCUUUUCUGUGCUAGCAGAACAUCUCACUCCUCAGAUUUUGACUUCUCUUGCCUCUUCUUGUCGGUGUUGGACACGGCCAUCAGUAGACACAGUUCUGAGCAAUCACCGAGGAAGGUUUUUCUUAUGCACUGUGGUAAUUGUGUCAGAACUCAAGGCAGUCCCACCGGUGUUCAGGUUUCAUCUGCCAUUCCCAGAGGAUUUCAUUACUCCCGCACAACCCUUUUUUCCUAGCAAGAUUUCACAUUGCCAGCGUGGACUUACCAAAUUGAUUCCCCGGAAGAAAAUAUCACGAUUAUAUUCACAAAGCUGAGAGGAAGACAGCCACUUUUUAUUCGCUCAUAAAGGAUGUGGGAGUCCUGGGUUUAAUUUCCUCCUCUGCCUGGGGGAACUAGAACCAGCAUCACUUAUCUCCCAAGAGAAUGCCAUAAGGUUGUGCUGUGCUGCAUACUAAGGUGGGUUGUUCUUACUCCUCACCACUUAUGUGUCCUGAUCUGUGCGGAAGGUCUUUCCAGACCCCAGUAGAGACACUCAUGGACACAAUUCACCUGGCUUCCCCAGUCUGUGCUAAUGAGUACUGCGCUACUAAGGAAUAUGAAAGUGCCAUUGGCAGAGCCUCUCCCAGGGUACCCCUGCUCUUGUGACUGUGGUAUUCUCCUGGAAAAGAAGAAGGGUAGACAGGGAAGCAGAAGAGGGCAUUGAACAUCCUACGCGAGCACAUCAGGCAAACGCAUGUGCUAAAGUUCACAGAGGUGAGAAAGUGCAGCUCAGUCUGCUGGAGAAAAUUACUUGGAGAAGUCAGCACAAGUUAAAGAUGGGAAGACCAAAUUAGUUCAAUCAGAAAGUCUUCCUAAUAUUAACCAAGGACUGUGCUGACAUCAGGCCUGAUGUACAAGAUAAAUGCCAAAAUCAAUGGACCAAAACUCAUGUGCCAGGAGCUAAAGCCAACUGGUGACUGGUGGCAUGUACAUCAUCCUCUGGGGUACAUCCAUUUUGAUACUGAUCCUAGAAUAGGUGGACAGAAAGGAGAAAUGCUGACAGCUGUCGUUGUCAACUUCGAGAUCUAAGUCUCUGCUGUGACACUGUUGGUAUUUCAAGGAACAUUUGGACGUUGUGUUGAAGGACAUGGUUUAGUGAGAACCACUGGUGACAGGUGAAUGGUUGGACUGGAUGAUCCUGUGGGUGUUUUUCAACCUUUGUGAUUCUAUGAUUCUACACUUACUUGAUCUGGUCAGACCUUCUGGUGAGUUUCUGGUGAGGAGAUACAUGGGAGUCAUCGCUAUGUCCACCAAUUUCAGUGCAGUCCUGGAAACCCACUUGGAAGGGAAGACUUGGGGUCCUGAAGCCACCCUUCUCUCAGUAGCUUUGCAGUCUUUUCACAUGCUUCUCUGCCUUUUCUUUCUUUUACCUUCCUUUUAAUCAAACUAUCCUAGAUAGGAGGGUACGGGUUGUACAACACAGCUGUGAACUGCAAUCAAGGAGACAACCAAAAGCAAUGUCUAAAUGAGACAGACGCUGAUAUAAAUCCCCUUGAUCAGAGAGGGGCUGAUAAGUCCAUGUGUUGUGCUUGUCUUUUUCUAGCAGUGAGGCUGCAAGUAAAAGUCAACACCUGAAGAGGAAGUAAUAAUUUUUGUCUUUGCUCUCCUUUCCUCUCCCCUCCUGCAUGCCUGUGUCUUCAAAUGAGCAAAGCAGAAUCCCAAAAUGAGUACUAACAGCAGAUCCAGUCUAUCUCAAUGAGUGUCUCCCAAAAAACAGUGAGUGCUGCUAUGACCUUAAAUAAAGGGAGGGAAGCACUGCUACAAAAACUGUUGACAGCUAAGGGAAGAGGGAUAAUGGACACUUUUAAAGCAUAAAGUCUUAUUUUUCAAGUGCUUAAACUGUUUUUUCUCCUUUUUUGUGUAUCUUUAAUUAAAGAUUAAAAGACUUCUAUUGGUGAUUGUUUGCCAUGGUAACCAAGUAGGCUGAGGUCUCUGUAUUCAAAACCCCAAACCUUUUUAAGUGUUUAAUGUUGCAGAGUGUCUGGGUCGUGUUAGCAUCUUUCACUCAUUGAGCCCACUCCUUCCCCAGAACCUCACAGGACUGUGCCCCGUUGGCCACCAGACUAGAGGGACAGCCUCUCAGCUCCACUAUCCCCCUGUGAGUGGGAUCCCUUCUUCUCACUUCUCUUUUGGGUGCUUGAAUGUUUUGCUUUCAAUUAAAUGCAAUUUUCACUGUGAAAUACAGCUAUUCCUUUGCAGUUUUUCAGCAAGAGACAUAAAACCUAACCAGACUCAUCUGUUCCUACUGAGGUGAUGUUUUCUUCUUUCCUGCUGAACCAAACAGCACUUAUUCAUAUCUCGCUGCUAUUUUUAAGAGUGGGGCCCAGCUGUAUGGCAUUCAGAAGCACCACUAAAACUUCAACAGCAGAGUACACAUCAUAGUACAUUCUGGUUAGAGAAAUGACUGGCAGUCAUUUUUGCAAUGAGUGCUGUCUGUAUCGAUGCAUGUGUGCGUAUUUAUUACAUUAGUCACCUCCGCUACUAGAAUGACUUGCAAUUAAGAUUGCUGUAGUACCUGAAAUGUCACAUUGCUUGCCUUCAUUCUGAAAGGGGCACUGCCUUAACCAGAUAAAGCAAAGAGAGACAUAUGAGGGCAUGACCAGACUUAUCCUUAUAACCACAUUAGAAUGGCUGGAAAUGUUACCACUUCUCAGCAGAGAAGUAUAUUUUAGCUGGGACAGAGUCACUGGCCGCAUGUAAGCUCUCAGUCUCUUGAACUGCAAAGCAAGAUGACUUUCAGACGUGAAAGGAACUAACCCAUUUCAUUUUGCAUUUGCCAUACAUGCCCAUAGGGUUCUCACAUCUUCGCUGAGAGACAACCACCUCCAACCACAGUGGCACACAUUUCCUAAGUUCUUAUAGUGUGACACAAAGAACAUAAGCUGAUACGCAAACACAGUAAUUAGUAUAGGAGUACCCACCUGGCUGAUGCGCUGCAUCCGUUUGCUUGUGCUCAGAGGUUGGUAUGAGCUUACAUUUUAUCUCACGUGUGAAGUGUGGAGCCAGGACCUGCCCCUCCAGCAGGUUAUGGCAUGUGCUCGCUGCUUGGGCCUCCCAGGAACUCCAGCAGGUCACUGAGAAUCACAGUGCAAGGCACCAACAGUCCUGGUCUUUGUUCACAAGGCCCUUUCCUUCGAACAGCAUAGAAAAACAAUCAGAUCACUUACUGUCAGUGGGCAGCGUUGAACCCUGAAUAUUGGGAUGGCUGCAUGGCAUAGACAAGCCGUUCAACUUACUCUUUUGCUCUUCUGAACUAAUCAACUCGGAUGGUCAAACUGGCACAAAAGUACGUUUUCUUGUGUUUGGUUUGGUUAUUUUUUUUCCCCCACAGGACUCAUUCGCUUAUGUCAAUCAACUUGAAACAAAAUCAAAUACAAGUUUCCAUGUUUGUGGGUCUCCCGGAGAGGAAAAGGCAGUAAGCAUGUUUGCUGCUAUCCUUUUUCCUUUCAAAUGUUUGUAUUUCAUGAAUUACUCUUGCCACAAAAGUGUUCAUAGUAAAUGCAGAGGAAAGAACAAGAUUACCUGCUUUGAACGCCAUCAGAUUUACGCAUUUGGACAGGAUCUCAUCUGCCAGGUGGUAGAAGAACUUCUGAGUAACUACAAUGAAGUACCCAAGCCAAAGGUUUGGAAAAUUGAUCUGCAGGUAGUACUUAGGGUGACUUAUAUGCUCGUUCAGGCUGCUGUGCUGGUUUCGGGUAGGACAAAACACUCUUUUCUUCUUCUUUUUUUCUUCCAAAAACAUUGUCAGUUCCCUAUAGGCCUGCUCUGCAGGGCUCUAUGGCCAGUUUCCCUAUCGUCUUAAAACAACCCUCCAAACACCUGCUAUCUUUCAAACACCUUUUAUUUUGUACGCCAUAGUAUGAAGUUUUUGUGUGGUUGUUCAAGUCCUUAGUGAAUGUCAGUGGUAGUCUCUGAAAACACCUGACUAAGUAGGAACCAUCUAACCCUUGGGAGCUAUUGACUGCUGCCUCCAAGGGCGUAAUUAGCAAGUGGCAGAACUUGCCAUGCAGGUCAUGUUUUACAAGAUCUCACAGUAUCGGUAUUGAUUAUGAUUAGAUUAGAUUGGGCUGAUGGUAAAUGCUUAUUUAUGAGAUUUUCAGGCAAAUAGUGAAUAUCUUGUCAUGAGCAUCACCAAGUAUGCUUUUCACACAACUCUAGGAUGAGUUAUAAACUUCAUAUAUGCAUGUGCAUGUGUAUGAUAGAAGAGAGAGGACAAGCCACAGAAAGGCCAGGAUCCUGUAUUUAACACCUUACAAGCUGAAGGCACAAAUGAGUUCAACACACCAAGAGGGAAUUUCACAUUAAAAAGAACAGCUUUUGGAAACCCCUAUUCUGCACUUGCCUGCCAGCCGAUGGCACAUAUAAGGAAGAUGGCAGCAAAUACAAUCGGGCUGGCACACCAUGUGUUAUUGCCUUGACACUGAUUGUAAGGAGAUUUUCACACACUUGCGCAAGGGAGAAUGUUAUUUUUCAGUCCUUCCAAAUAUGUCGGUGGUUUUCUGAACCCUUAAAACUCCAUGCAUCUGUUAGAAAAUGUCUGUUUUAUUCCCAGCUGGUUUUGCUGCUCAAGCCAGGGUGCCUGCAGCCUGCUAGAUGUGCUGGAGCAUUCACAGCGUCUGCACGCAGCUGCGGACAUGACGGAGGACCUAACAGAUACCGUGCCUUUGUAAAGCUGCCGCUGAAGGGAGACCUGAAGUAUCUCAUAUAUCUCUUCUUGCCUACGGUUAGGGAGCUGAAUCCUACCCAUUUCUUAUUUUCAUUUCCACUUGGAUUUCCUGACGUCUUCUUUACCCUCCCCUUUCUUAUUCCUGCUUCUUCAGCAACAAAGCGGGAAAGGUCUAUAAGGAGGAGAGAGAAAGAACUUAAAAAAAAAAAAAUAAGGAACAUUUGUUAAUUUCAGAAGGAAUCAGAAUCGUAUAAAGUCUUACCACAAAAUAAUUUAUUUGGUUUAAAGAGCUUUAUCCUUUUUUUUUUCUUCUGGUUCUCACAACACCAGUGCAGCUUGGAGCCUCCUUAGCGGUCUGGAAGACAAGUCAGAGGGCCACAAGCAUUGAUGCUGUUGCUGACCUCCUGCAUGGCCUUGGUUGCCCCACUUUGUCUUCAGAGGAAUAGCAGAACAAACCCCCUGUACAGUUCCAUAAAGAUUUGAGGUAUUUUAAGUACAGGUUCUCUUAUAUGCCUGUAAGAAUUAUUUCAAAACCUCACGUAAGAGAAGAGGUGGUUUUACUGGCAAAUGAGCAUAGAAAAUGAGAGUAGAAAUUGCCCUUCUAGCAAGAAAGACAGCAGAUCUUCAGACUGUGAAGUCUGUGGGUGUUUGUGUGUGUCUGUGUGCAGCAGGGGAUGAAGCAAUAAUUUACUGCUUUCCAAAAAGCAGCAGAUGGAUCUAACUGCCUCGGUAUUGGAAGCCCUUGGUCCUGGAGUCAUUGAUUUGGCUAAGCCCUCUUUCCAGCCAUUGCUCAAUGCAAAGUGAUGGCCACAGCCAGACCUGCCCCUGGAGGUAGCACUGGGGAGCAGUGAGGUUCUGUGGCAGAGGAUCUGGGGCUCACCACUGGCCAAGGGCCAUGCAUGCCUCUGUAGGAAAGCUCCAAUAGAAGUUACCAUCCUGCCUUGAGAAAUCAGGCCAUGGAAAGAGAAAGAAGCUGGGUUCCCACCAGCGUUUCAAACCCAUGAAAUAUUAUAGGCUCCAGAAAGCAGAUUUAUGCAGUUCACUCUGAUAAGGAAAGCUCCAUUGUGAAACUUCUGUUGCUGUUUUCAUAUUUGAACGCCUUUAAUUUUCUUUUCCUUUGAGGUUUUAUCUUCUCUUUGGCAUGAGGCAGUGCCAAUUCCCAGGUGCUCUGCCAUUAGGGAGGCCAAGCCUUGACGGAAACACCUCGCCCAGAGAAAGCUGACACUGAGGGCUCUCCGAUGCCCUUCAGGCAAAAUGCAGCGGCCCUCUGUUUGCUGCGUAGUUGGCAACAGAAGCAGUCCUGGUGAUGGGAGAGGCUAGCAAAGAAAGGAGUUGUGGCCCAGGUGCAGAUGACAGGCCAACUGUUAGUUGCCACUUGUUGCUUCACCUACUAUGAAGGUCUGGGCAGGUGUGAAACAGCAGGGAGCUGGGCGCUCAUCUCUGUGCCCGCUGCCUCUACUUGCAAGCCCACCAGUGACCCUCUAGGGCCAUUGCCCAGCCCUUACAGACCCGUGGAUCCAGGCAGGGAAGAGCAAGCAGCUGUUUUUCUUCCCCAGCACGGGAACUUCAACCAGUGUGAUCUGUCAGGCUGCUGUGAUCCCAC
rnacentral:lncRNA from 1 species